AAUUUCAGAUUAUAUAUAUGGCCGUCGAUCGAGCUAGCUAAGCAAACACACCAUGGCUGCUUCUUUCAUGGCUCGCGUCGUGCUAAUCCUAGUGCUGUCCCUCUGGCUGCUGCCGUCGCUUCUGCCCGGUUCUCUCGCCGCCGGCGCUUCAUCAGCCGGCAACGAGCUUUUGCCAUUGAGCGGUGGCAGCUCCAGGCGGAUGGCGAUGGUGAGAAGCAGGGAGAGGAAAGACGGCUAUGGUUUAAGUAUCGCGAAAUCAGCACGGCGAUCUCUCCGGCUUACACCCGGUUAUGAACACAACCCUGGGGAUGGACCGCGUGAAACUCCUGUCACUCCUAUAGAAAGAAAUAAGCAGCCAGGCAACUGAUCAGAGAAGGAACACCUCUGAUGGCACAACAAGAACACUUGAACGAGGAAAUGAUUCAGCUGUGAUCAACAGAGGUUGUAAUAAAAACUGUUAAAAACUCUAAUAAGAAGUUACUCCUUACGGAGUAAUAAUACUUGUCAUUUUGAACAAGUCUAUUAUUAAACUUUAAAAACUUUAAACAUAUGAAGACCAUAUGUAUAGAUUAGUAUUAAAAAGUCUUUUCAUAAAAUCAUAUGUAUUGAUAUUUCUAUAUAUAUUGUAAAAGAAAAAUAGUGGUCAAAAAUAUUUUUAAAUAUCAUUUUUGUCCAAAACGACACGUAUUAUCAACCCGGAGGGAGUAACAGAUAUGAUAGCCAGUUGAAGGAUUGUUUGUCUGUUCAUUAUAAAUUUUGUUUCAAUUACUCAUACAUAUUAUAAGAUUAUUUGUAAUGAUGAUCUUCCUUUUUUUUCUUC